GACGAACGCUGGCGGCGUGCUUAACACAUGCAAGUCGAGCGGAAAGGCCACUUCGGUGGUACUCGAGCGGCGAACGGGUGAGUAACACGGGAGUAAUCUGCCCCUGGCUUUGGGAUAGCCACCGGAAACGGUGAUUAAUACCGGAUAUGACAGCUGCUCGCAUGAGUGGUUGUGGAAAGUUUUUCGGCCAGGGAUGUGCUCGCGGCCUAUCAGCUUGAUGGUGAGGUAAUGGCUCACCAUGGCUUCGACGGGUAGCCGGCCUGAGAGGGUGACCGGUCACACUGGGACUGAGACACGGCCCAGACUCCUACGGGAGGCAGCAGUGGGGAAUAUUGGACAAUGGGCGGAAGCCUGAUCCAGCAACGCCGCGUGAGGGAUGACGGCCUUCGGGUUGUAAACCUCUUUCGCCUGUGACGAAGCGCAAGUGACGGUAACAGGUAAAGAAGCACCGGCCAACUACGUGCCAGCCGCCGCCGUAAGAC
rnacentral:rRNA from 1 species